AGUGAACGCUGGCGGUAGGCCUAACACAUGCAAGUCGAACGGCAGCACAGUAAGAGCUUGCUCUUACGGGUGGCGAGUGGCGGACGGGUGAGGAAUACAUCGGAAUCUACUUUUUCGUGGGGGAUAACGUAGGGAAACUUACGCUAAUACAGCAUACGACCUACGGGUGAAAGCAGGGGAUUUUCGGACCUUGCGCGAUUGAAUGAGCCGAUGUCGGAUUAGCUAGUUGGGGGGGUAAAGGCGCACCAAGGCGACGAUCCGGAGCGGGUCUGAGAGGAUGAUCAGCCACACUGGAACUGAGACACGGUCCAGACUCCUACGAGAGGCAGCAGUGGGGAAUAUUGGACAAUGUGCGCAAGCCUGGUCCGGCCAUACCGCGUGCGUGAAGAAGGCCUUCGGGUUGUAAAGCUCUUUUGUUGGGAAAGAAAAGCAGCAGGUUAAUACCCCGCUGUUCUGACGGUACCCAAAGAAUAAGCACCGGCUAACUUCGUG
rnacentral:rRNA from 1 species